GAAAUGCGAUAAGUAAUGUGAAUUGCAGAAUUCAGUGAAUCAUCGAAUCUUUGAACGCACCUUGCGCUCCUUGGUAUUCCUUGGAGCAUGCCUGUUUGAGUAUCAUGAAAUCUUCAAAGUAAAUCUUUUGUUAACUCAAUUGGUUUCUACUUUGGUAUUGUAGGUCUUUGCAGCUUCACACCUGCUCCUCUUUGUUCAUUAGCUGGAUCUCAGUGUUAUGCUUGGUUCCACUCGGCGUGAUAAGUUAUCUAUCGCUGAGGACACUGUAAAAGGUGGCCAAGGUAAAUGCAGAUGAACCGCUUCUAAUAGUCCAUUGACUUGGACAAUACUUUUAUGAUCUGAUCUCAAAUCAGGUAGGACUACCCGCUGAACUUAAGC
rnacentral:misc_RNA from 1 species